UUCUAAGUCGUCACUCUCCUAGCACUGGUUACAAGAAAUGUCGGUGGGAGUGGUUGUUUUACGAUAAACCACUCUGAUAAAAAAAAUGCUCCAAUGAUUAUUUUUGAGAUGUCAGAGCUGAAAAUGUACAGAUUUCACUGGACGAAGAACCUGCCAAGUGGUGAUUGCACAACCAAAGCACUGCAAGGAACCAAGGAGGCCAAAUGUGUGUUGGAAAAAUCACAGAUGUCAUCUGGGAAUGCUCAGAGCCUUGGGCUUUCACGCUGAGACAGACUCGCUUCCACCGGAACCUCAGCCUUUUAAGGCUAAAUCAAGGCCGUGACUUCCUCAGCUGAAUCAACCUGACACUGUUCCCUGAGCUCACUGGGAUCCUAUUGGCAGAGCGUCAGCCCCGUCAUGGAAAGAAUGCCUCCACCAGGGAGGACUGGGUUAGUCCCCAUCCUGAACUGGAUCAUAAACACCCACCUUGUCAUAAAGCUGCUGUGAGUCUUACAAUGGGAAGAUGGGGGAGGCAGCACACUGGGGUCAGGAGUGGAGAUACUUAGGCUCCCCAGAGAAAUUAGUCACAAGUCUUAUCCCUUCAUCUCCAUUUACAGCCAUUUAUUUGGGAGCAACAUACUUUAAAUGAGUGAUAAACAAAAUGUCUCCCCACAGCCCCCACCCCAGCAUGUGUUCUGAAGUUCACAGGAAGGCUUCUCCUCAUUUGCUUUGGGGCCCGCAGGCUGCCUGCUAACAGCUGGGUCUUCCCAUGAACAAAUUAGACAGUUAAUGUUCCAGGAUGAAGAGGGCUUCGGGGAACAGAAUCUGCCGUUUAUUUGACUUGCUUCAUUAGACACAGUGCCAUCAUACCAAAAUUAGAAAAAAGAAGGAACUCAGCGGAAAUCAGCUACACAAGAAGAACCUCUCAGUUCUGAGAAUUCACAUUAACCAGUGAUUAAGAAAUAUUAAAAAGGUAUAGUUCUUGGCUGUGCUGAGGAUCUGUAAGGCACCAGAUGUGAAAGUAAGGAAGAAAGAUGGAUGUGGAAGAAAGUCACUGCCCAGAGAAUAAGGAGACCUGGAUUCUAAUCUCAGCUCUGCCAUUAACUAGCUAUGAAACUAUGGCUCAAAAGGGAAUAAGAGAUCAAGGCAAGCAUGGACAUCUUGUACGUGGAAGUGCAGACCAGAACUUGUAUCACAGCCAGUCAUAUCUGAAAAAGUGGCAUAGAGGGAAAAAGAGGUCAAAUUAAACAUCAAGGUAGCUAAAAGGAAAAUUGUGUCCGCUGCUCUAAUAUCACAAUCCCAAGGAGAACUGCAGACAUUUGUCCUCGAGUUCCUCAGGUUGCCAGUAAUGAUGUUUCUGGUGAUCUGGCUCAGAAGGCUGAGCUGAUGAGUGAUCACUCAGAAAUACUGAAUCAGGCAAUGGAAAUUCUGAAUCGGUGGGCUCUGGAGAAGGAACUGAGGGCGAGGUGACUCGGGGCCGGAGGGCUAUUAUGGACUAUGGACAAGCUGAAGGCAUGGGAAGCCUGACCAGUAGAUAGAGGAAUAUGAACUUGGUGGACAGGGAAAAGCAG
rnacentral:lncRNA from 10 species